rnacentral:rRNA from 1 species
ACGGGUGAGUAACGCGUGGUCAACCUACCGUUGAGUGGGGGAUAACUAGCCGAAAGGUUAGCUAAUACCGCAUACGUCUCCGAGUGGCAUCACUUGGCGAUAAAAGGAGCAAUCCGCUCGAUGACGGGACCGCGUCCCAUUAGCUAGUUGGUGGGGUAACGGCCUACCAAGGCACCGAUGGGUAGCUGGUUUGAGAGAGCGACCAGCCACACUGGGACUGAGAAACGGCCCAG